GCGCAGGGGGCAUGACAAGAGCAGCUAGCUAGCUGAGCGCUCUCAAACGUCUGAGCUGGUAAAGUCUGCCCAAUUAUUUCAGUCUCCCUCUGUCGGGCUCUGAUCAACAGAAAAUUUUGAUUUGACCUGUACAAUGUGAGCAGGCCGGUUGGUGAUAACAACAUAGUUUGGAACGCAUACAUUGGUGAGAUGGCGGCGGAGGACACAUCAUCAAUAAAGUGCAGAAAAUCGGGUGAACUAAAAAGUGCCAAUGGUCUUCAGGUUCACAAAGAUGUGGAUAAUAAUCGGUCAUCGAAGCAUAACAACAAUGUUGUAAAAUACAAUAAAUCCGAAUUUUCAAGGAGGUCUCAUGUGACCUACAGAUGGUGGUGUGUGACAGUAUUUCUUCAUUCAUUAGCUGCUGGACUAUUUGUUGUGCUUUUAAUAUCAACAUUGUGGAGAAGUUUUGUGGAGCAUUAAACAAAACUUGGGAUCUUAACCAUGCUUUUUUGGUUGUGGAAUGACUUGCGGAGAAAUUAUCACCUUUGGUAGUGCAGUGGAUUUGAACAUUUGCCAUUGUGAUGUGAUAUGGUGGUCUUUCAGGAAAAUGUAAAUAACCAUUGUUGAUUGAUGGUGCUAAUUUUCUUGUUGAAUUUUAUACCUGCAUGUUGUAGAAAACAUUAGUUUCCUCUGCUGAUUCUGGUUUCAGUCAAAAACGGUUUCUGCUAUGGAGCUAUCCUGACUUUCUGUAAAAAAAACACACUCAAUGGUAGCCCACCCAUCAUUUAUCAAAAUAGAUGAGAUCGAAUUCAAGGAUUGCAGUUGCACAUCAGCCUUUGUCAUCUCGGGUUGGCCCUAAAUAUUGUUUUACAUAGGGGAGGUCAAAUUUUCUAACAUCCCUCUUGGCAGAAAAGCCUAAACCAUCAGACAGUGUCAGUAUUAUAUAAUCUAGAAUUGGAACAUCAUCAACUAUGUUGGGUAGAAAAUACAUGGCUAACCUGGCUCCAUGUUAACUGUAAGAUGUACCUAAAUUUCAUCUCAUACAAGCUUUGUAUCUUAAGUGAAUGCAAAUGUAGUUCAAACUGUUGCAAGUUGUAAAAAAUGAGAUUAUUGAUACAAGACGGGUUAUUUUAUGAACAAACACUGCUUACAUUCUUUCUAGAUAGAAGCUGUUGGUAAUGUUGUUCGUUAGUUGUUUCUAGGUUAAACUAAAGGUAGUGAACUUCGAUGUUCAAUUGAUGACUCGUGCACAUUCAGUUUGUAUACAACAGUUGACGGCGGGCUUUAGUUGAAAUGUACUUGUAAAGUGAGUGUGACCAAACAGGUCAGUCUUUGAAGGUGGGAUUUCGAUAAACCACUAGAGUGGGCUGGGAUUUUUGCAGGAGGUUGUUGGGUUUGUCCAUUUAUAGUCUAAAGCAGAGUUGCUGUACUGAGUGUAAAAUCACAAUUAUUUUCACAUUUUUGACAAAUUUGAUUUAUCUACCAGUAUUGUAACAAUGUGCCUGUAUUGUAUGUAAGUACAGUAUGAAUAUAUUAUACCAACUACACAAUGAACUGAGAAAAGGGAUUCAUUAUCAGUCUCUAACAUGCCAUAUAUGAGGGUGACUGAGGGAACUCAAUGGUGAAAAUUUUCUCUGCCUGACUGAGAUUGAGAAGAGUAUAAGUCACGCCGUGCAAUAGAAUACAGUGUUCUGAAAAAGACAAUCAUAAUUUAAAAACUAAAGCAUUUUACUUUUAGAAAUAACAUCCAAAAAUACCUCAGUUCACUAUUUUUAGAAUUUCUUUCUACAAACGAAUAGGUGUUCAUACGCUGUAGUUCUAGUGGCUUGAAAAAUUGUUUUUCAAUUGAAAAUUGAAGUCAUUUUUUCUGUAUGCAUUUCAAACUAACGCAGGGUAGUCAUGUAUUAGUAUCUCGAUUAGUCCCCCUCCCCCUUGCUUUGACAAGGAGCUCUCCUGUAAACAACUUUGUGUUUGUGACUUGCACAGUGUUCAUUAGUUGUCCUGUGAUUGCUAAUUUUGAUUGUGAUUGAUUUAUUACAAUUUUUUAACAUUCCUUUGAAUUAAUACUGUAUCUUAUAUCUACUUACUAAUUUACACUGUAUUUACACAGUUUAUUUUGGUUGUAAACACUUUAUAGCUUUUGAGAUUAGGAUGAUAUCAUAUUUGUAUUUAAACAUCCAUUUCAUUUUUUGCUCAGCCUCUUGUUUGAAACAAUACUUUACCAGUAAUGUUGCACCUUGUUUUUUCUCAUUUCAUAUGUACUUUUCACUUUAUUCAUUCAUGAUCUUUUUAUCUUACUUUUCACAUUCCAUCUACAGUGGAACCUCCCUUAGCGGACACCUCUCUAUUAAGGACAAACGCUCUAUUAAGGACACUAGUUCUGGUCCCAAAUUGGUUGUAUCCAUUCAAUUUAAUCCAUUAAUUUCUACUGUAGUUUGUUGUGAAGUGACACACAUGUAUUCAUUCAUUGAUACAGUGCAAAAUAUCACUACUGUGUGGUUUUGAAUAAUGGGGAACUAAUAAUGAGCAGGUGCUAGGGGGUUCAUUUAUAAGUCUUUAGUUGACUAAUUUGCACAGUUGAUUCAAGACCUGGGCCUGGUUUGUCUUCCUUGUACAACAAGCUCGAAAAAUGCUGAAUGGUGCCAGUGUACUGCAAGACAAAUAAGACUCCUAUCAGUGACUUAGUGAAACCUGGCAAAAUCUGGUGUUUAUAUUGUCCCUUAAAAAUGUCACUAUUGUCUUCCUGUUGAGUCAAAGUCUACCGAAGGGCCCAAAUUUGUAAAGUAUAUCAAUUUGUAAUAUCACCAUAUUUUCAUGUGCAGUAAACCUUGUAUUGGCCUUGCAUAAACCAGACUUAAUUGACUCAUUGAGUGAAGUGAAACUAUACAGUAUACCAGUAAGUUAACAAUGUAAACUACUAUCCCCAACUCAUGCAAAACGUCAUUAGAGGGCUUUGCCAAAGAGAUUGUAGCUGUAGGUCUUUUCACAAAUAUUAUCUUAAUGGGUAUUUACCAUUAUGUAGUUUGUUUAUAUUUGCACAUUCCCCAAUUAUUAGGUCAUAUCCCCAACCUGUAUUAAAUAUGUGUAUUUGAACAAAGUUUUGAAUAAUCAAAAUGAGGCACUGUUGUUAUUGCCUCUGUGUAUUAAACUUGAGUCAUAAUAAAUUUGAUAUAUUUUUGUA